ensembl:lncRNA
GGACACUCCUCUCUCCUGCUAGGGACCAGGUUGUCCAUGUACCUGCUAAAGGAGACUCCUCUCUCCUGCUAUGGACCAGGUUGUCCAUGUACCUGCUAAAGGAGACUCCUCUCUCCUGCUAGGGACCAGGUUGUCCAUGUACCUGCUAAAGGACACUCCUCUCUCCUGCUAGGGACCAGGUUGUCCAUGUACCUGCUAAAGGAGACUCCUCUCUCCUGCUAGGGACCAGGUUGUCCAUGUACCUGCUAAAGGAGACUCCUCUCUCCUGCUAGGGACCAGGUUGUCCAUGUACCUGCUAAAGGAGACUCCUCUCUCC